CUCUUAUUCAUGAGUUGAAGCAUUGAAGCGUGGACAAUUUGCAUAUUUUCUUUUAAAGAAUUUGUCAAUUGUUUUCAACUUACUCAUACCUUAAUCAAACCUGAAAACAAAUUAAUGUGGUUAACAUCUAAUGUUCUUAUUUUAUUUCUAUUUAAACUUACAGUACUAAAUGUAAAACUAUAAUGUAUAUAAAUUGUUAAAUACGAUAUAAAGGAUUACUAAUUUCUUCUUAUAUAAUUAGGAUUGUUUAAAGACUAUAUAUUCAAUAUAAUUUCCUUUCAACUAAAUAUAAAAUAUAAACCACAUUAAAAAGAUAUAGUUAAGAUAAUUUUCUCUUACAUAAUCAAGAUUAAUAAAUAAAUGAUACCUUGAUGAAAUUUUAAGUAACAAUGCAAUACUAUAACUUAUAUUUGAAAAGUACAUAAUAAUCUAUUAAUUUUUAAAGAUUAAAAUCAUAGAAAAAAAAAUUCACGUGAUAGAAAGAAGAAGAACAUGACAAGUAGAAGAUAGAACCCACACAUGACAUAAUAAAAAAGAAAGAAAAAGAAUAUGGUUGAUGAUUCAUAGAAAUUUGGAGAAGAAAAUCUAUAAAAGCUUAGAACAUAUGAGUAAAUAGAAUAGAAAUGAAAAAAAAUAAAUAUAAAUUAAAGUAAUAAUAUAAAUUGAAAGAAGAAAAUUAAAAGAAACUUUAAAAUUAGGUGAGACAUGUGGGAUCAUUUUGUUAUUCUUUAUUUAUAUUAAUUAUUAAAAAAAAUUAUUUUUAAAGGGUCAUUAAAAAAAUAUGUAAAAAAUUUAAAAUUUUUUUUGUGAUAUAAAAAAAUCUUUUAAAAUUUUAGGAGGUCAUGACAAAGGAGGAUUCGCCCCUGCACCUCUCAGUUUUAUCUAAAAACCAUAACUCUACCUUCAUCUUGGAAUUCUCCAUUCUAACUAACUCAUGCUUUGCCCCUUCUUGUAUAAUGACUAUUUUAUUUGAAUUUCAUCCUCAAGGUUUGCAAUUUUCUACUAGAUAUUACCAUAACUCAGUUGUUGUCGUUUAUUAGUAACUGGUUUGAGAGAUAUUGACCUAUGUCAAUUACCACCAUUUCCAGCACCCCCAACUUACUCUCUUCCCAAGCUACCUUGAAGAUUUCUCAGAAACUUUUCUGGUCAAGUCAAUAAAUUAAAGAUUUUAAGGGCCUAAGUGUCACGACCCGAAACUCCCAUCGAGCCCGUGACAACAGCCGUGAUGUCCCGAUAGACAUUCAUUACCCGGAAUGCCAAUCGAAACCUCGCAAGGCUUAACAUUAGUUUUCUUGCUUCCCUUGAGUAUUAGUUACUAAAAUCAUGUUUUAAAGUGAUAUGAACCAAUUUCAAUUCAAAAACAGUCAAAGAGAAAUUACAACUACACAGGGGUAUUUUGGUCAUUUUUUCUCAAAAAUCUCGAAACCAAUUAAAAAUGUAGUAUGCGAGUGAAAAACACAUAUUUCAUAAUCAAAAACAAGUUUAGAUGUCUAAAACAUUCAUUUAAAGUGAAACUAUAUCUAUUUGAAUAUAAUAAAAAUAUUCAAUAAAAUAUUCUAUUUUCUUAUAAAACAAUAUUUAUAGAGUUAUCGGUAAAUAAUUUUUGUAGCGUAAAAGCUAAAUAAAUUCAUACAUACUGUAAUACAGAUAACCAAAGCAUAAGAUUUAAUUUACAGUGACAUGUGGGCCCAUGAACGACCAAAAGUAUCAAAAGCGAUAAACCUACAGUUUUUGAUGAUGCAAGUCCAACUGUAGCCCUCAACGAAAUGAGCUAUUUAUUGACUAUCCUGAGCCUGAAAUGGGUGGAAAGGAGGGCGGUGAGAUUAUAUAAUCCCAGUGAGUAAACAAAUACCAUCUAAAAUAUCUAAAGCUGAGUAAAUGGAGACAGAUUAAAAUAUAUCAUCAUACUGUAAUUCAUCACCUUUCAACUCAUUUCAACCAAAUAAAAUCAAUUCAUAUAAAUCGAGUAAUCAACAUGGCUUAUGAAUUUCUUAAAAGCUUUGGCUCGUGCCAAAAUCAUUCUCAUACUCGGUUGUCAGGGAUACCUUAGCCUGAGGCUAUCCCAACCGAGUCCACCAAAGCUGUUAAAAAGUCAUGUACGCAUAAAUCAUGUUUUUAUUUUGAAAACAUAGCCGUUCCUUGGCAUUGGCUGAGUUCACCCUCACGUAGUGGUUUGGCGUGAAGUGAACUCUAAAGUUGUACCUCGAGAGUUACCCUACACACCUCUCCGACCGAGGUAAGAAUAUAACAGGAUUACGUGCCUCUCAAAAAGGCUGGUCCACAGAACCUGCCCACUGCAGCAAGCUAAACCCACCAUACAAUAAAAUUUGCGAUAGCAUGACAUGGCAAUUAUUUUAUUUUAUAGCCUCUCAAGGCAAAUCAACAGUUCAUAUAUUUUUAGCACAUUUACCAAUUCAACCAUUCAUGCCAAUAUUAUCAUAAGCCAUUCAAUUCAAACCAUGAUUUAUAACACAACAAUUAGUCUCCAAUUACUCCAUUUUCAAAACCAUCUUUCAAUUUCAAGACAAUUUUAUAAAAUCAUUUCAUUUAAUCACAUUUUGCUUAUAAAACAUAAAGAUUUACCAUUUAAACUCAUUUUUCUAUCAAAUCACAAAAACGAAUAAAAACUACUUUAGAUAAUUAAGACGAUAAUAAGGUUACUCACUGUAAUGGAAAUCGAGUUCCGAGUACUCCAAUUCUUGAUCCUCGGGUACUAUCUCUUUACUUUUGCCAGAAUGCUUACCACCUAGACAUAAUGCAAAAUAAGCCAUUUACUACAUUUGUGCUAAAUUGUUAUAAAACCAAUUCAGGCUUUAUCCUAAUACAUGAAAUGGGAUGUAAAUUGUUCGGAUUAUCUUCUAAACACAAUGUUCUACACAAAUUCAAUUGUGUACCUAAAUAAAACGGUAUUGGCCUAAUUCGAUCUAUCACUCAAUUAAUUGGCCAAUAUGUCCAAUUCAACUCCAAUAAUUCCAUUUUUCUUCCAAUUCUCCAUAUAAUCAAACACAAGUUAAAUAACUUGAAAUAUGGCAAAAUCAUCUUCACAUUUUCUCUUGGGAAUUUCGGCCAUGGUGGGUGCAUCAACACUAUGAUUUUUCCUACCUGAUUUUCUCACCAUAAUUCAUCUUUUCCUAACCAAUUCACUUGAAAUAAAAUCAAAAUCAUCAUCAAUAUUCCACAUGGAGAAUUCAGCCAAUGAGGGUUAUGGAAGAACAUGAAUUUUUCUUACUUGAUUUUCAGGCUACACAUCAUCAAUCAACUAAAAACACUAGAAUAUCUUAAAAUCUAACAAAAACAACCAUCAAAAUAUCUCUCUAAGUGUUCGGCCAGCAAGAGAUUCAUCAUGAUUUCAUGUGAUUCAACCAUGAAAAAUAAGAAAAAAUGCUUAAGAAAGAGAGAUCUCAAGCUUAAUUGAAAAAAAUCUUACCCUUUUCACUUGUUUCCUUGAAUUUUCACACUUUUCCCUUGAAUUUUUCCAUCUAGGGUUUUUGUUCUUCCUUUUCUUCCUUUGCUCUUACUUUGGCCGGCCAU
rnacentral:lncRNA from 1 species